UCUGCAAAGUAGAUACAAUUGUUUCAAGUGUUGGCAACAUAAAUGUAUUGUUUAUUACUCCAAAAUCAAUGAAAUUAAUACAGCUUAAGAUGCAAGCUAGUGUUUCUAGAAUUGCUUAUUAUCCAAAAAUAAAUACUCUCCUUAUAAAAAGGAGAGCAUGAAGUAGCCCCAGCUUAAUGGCAUGAGAAGCAAUGUGAUUGCCUGAUAUUAAGUGCCAACAAACAAUGCGAUUUGUGUACAUUUGUGAUCCUUUCACCCUCAUCCUGCCUAUUCUAUCAUGUUUAUGUGCAGGCAGAAGAUUUGCACUAUCAUUAUAGUUGAAACAAGGGAAUAACAGCACUACCAUUAUAAUUAAACAAUAGACAUAACAGCAAAAGAAACAGAAACGCACCCCUUGAAGACGGCUGAAACCAAGUCCUACCAUUAUAAUUAAACAAUAGACAUAACAGCAAAAGAAACAGAAACGCACCCCUCGAAGAC
rnacentral:lncRNA from 1 species